GGGCCUGUGGCGGAAUGGUAGACGCUGCAGACUUAAAAUCUGUUGCCUGUAUAGGCGUGCCGGUUCGAGCCCGGCCAGGCCCACCA
rnacentral:tRNA from 1 species